rnacentral:rRNA from 1 species
AGAACGAACGCUGGCGGCAUGCCUAACACAUGCAAGUCGAACGCUUUUGGGGCUUCGGUCCCAAAGGAGUGGCGCACGGGUGAGUAGCGCGUGGGAACCUGCCCUGUUGUGGGGGAUAACCGAGGGAAACUUCGGCUAAUACCGCAUACGCCCGGGGGAAACUCCGGGGAAAGAUUUAUCGCAGCAGGAGGGGCCCGCGUCGGAUUAGGUAGUUGGUGGGGUAACGGCCCACCAAGCCUGUGAUCCGUAGCUGGUCUGAGAGGAUGAUCAGCCACACUGGGACUGAGACACGGUCCAGACUCCUACGGGAGGCAGCAGUGGGGAAUCUUGCACAAUGGACGAAAGUCUGAUGCAGCAACGCCGCGUGGGGAUGAAGCUUUUCGGAGUGUAAACCCCUUUCGACCCGGAAGAAAGCCCGCAAGGGUUUGACGGUUACGGGUAUAAGAAGCCCCGGACUAACUACGUGCCAGCAGCCGAC